rnacentral:misc_RNA from 1 species
AAGUCGUAACAAGGUCUCCGUAGGUGAACCUGCGGAGGGAUCAUUACCGAGUGAGGGCCUCCGGGCCCGACCUCCAACCCUUCUGUGAACCACUCUUGUUGCUUCGGGGGCGACCCCGCCGUUCGCGCGGCGGCGGCGCCCCCGGGGGCCAAUCAAACACUGCGUAACCGAGCGUCGGAGUAUUGAUUAAAUCAAACAAAACUUUCAACAACGGAUCUCUUGGUUCUG